CCGUCUUGUUAUGCCAACAUAUUUUUUAGAAAUCGAAUUGUUCGAUUAGAGAAUUUCAAUUCUUUUCAGUCUCUUUAUUGUUCAUAAUCAUUUCAAUAUUGUUAUUUGUUGCAGAUUUCGAUCAUUUUUACGCUGACAUUGCUAUUGAUAAUCAUGGCUUCGUCUUACAUGACAUGUUUUGCUUGUGGAGGUAAAAUAGAGGAAAAGGAUGACUUGAUACUAUCAAAUUACAAUGAAUUCCUGUGCAAGUCAUGUGAUGAAAAUCGGCCCUCCGUGAUAUCGGUCCAUAUUUAUCCAUUUCAUUUUUGUGCAUUCAAUGUAAUGUGUAAAAAAAGAGCUAUUUUCGGCUGCUCAAAUUUCUCAUUCUAUACCUGCAAAUCGUGCCAUGAAAAGUUUUGUGAAUCGGCGUCAAAUGUUCCCAAAUGCUCAAUUAAACCCUUAUUUCAUGGUCCCUUGUGCUCCUCUUGUGGGAAUCCAGCCUUUUUUUCAAAUGAAGCUACGAAGCAGUUCUUAUGUAAUGAUUGUGUUGGGAUAAAUCAUGACAUGGAAUCGAUGGUUGAAAUUGAAGUCAAAAAAUUACAUGACAAGCUUGAGUCACUAGACAAGUGUUGUCAAGCUCGAAAGUAUGAAUUCUCAUCUAUAAUCAGAAAAAUGCAAGAAAAUAUGACUAAGAUGAAGACAAUAAUGAAGGCCACCGGUGAAGUCGACAAUGAUUUGAAUCUUGCUUUCAUUUCUAAUGAUCAGCGGCUUAAUAUUAACAUGAGAAAAAAAAUUAAACUUGAUGAAAUCAUCAAAACAUUUGGCAUUGAGGGUAAUGUAACCAAUGUUUUGAUUCAAGCUCUAAAGAUAAGGCGUGUUAAUAUUCAUCAUGUCAUUGAAUACUUAUCAAAACUUGAGGAAAUUAUCAAUAAUGAAUUGAUUGUUGAUAAAAAAAUAAACAAACUCGAGCCUAAAGUUGAGGAAGAGGACUUGGUUGCUUCACAACCAAAAGACGAGACUUUUUCACAUAGUGAUGUAAUCUCAGCACUUCAAAAUGUUUCAUUAAACCAAACAGCGCCAUUUUGAGCGUCUUGUUCCAUUUUUUGGAUUCAAUAUUGGAUACCUCUGAACACAUAGUAUUUUUCUUUGUCUGUAAUGAAUAUAGUUAACAUUAGCAAACGCUCAUUGGAAACAAUUAGAAGCCUUAAUGAUGUUGAAAAUUAAUAAAUCAUGAUUUAUAAUACCAAUUGAUGAAGAAUACCAAUUUAUUUAUAACACUUUGUAUUUAGCGCUAUAAUCCAUCAACUAUUGUAGCAGCUGUGAAUUUUUGGCAAGAAUUGAUUGUUUAUAAUUUAACGAUAGUCAACAAAAUAUAAAAACAAUAUAAAUGCAUCUAAAAGAUUAUUAUACGUUUUGUGAAAAAUCAUAUCCAAAAGCAAUGGGUCGAUCUGCAGCUGUUGUCGUUUUAGGCGAUUUUGAAAGAAGUGCGUAUGAAAUAUCAUUGUCUUUCAUUAACUAAAUCACAUUGUAAUGUCGAUAUUGUGGCAUAUUUCGUAUCUGAAGAAAUCGCUAAAAAUCCUUUGAUUAUGAUCCAUCCAUUGAAAACAAACUCAUCAUUUAGUAGCUGUUAUUGAAUUAUUUUCUUUCAGAGCUGAUGUGUUUUAUGAUAGAUCACCUGAUAGUUUUAAACCAUUGAAAUCGAGAAAUAAGUAUAAUUUUUUAAGA